rfam:Myotis lucifugus cont2.52535, whole genome shotgun sequence.
CCAAAGGCCCUUUUCAGGGCCGCCCACCCCCUCUUGGAAGAGCUGU